rnacentral:lncRNA from 1 species
GAGGCCAAGUCCACCAGGGAUCGUGGCACGUUACAUAGUGGUGCCCCGAACAGCGACAGAAUCAGGUGCUCUACAAGUGGCACUCAAACAGGCGACAGUCUGAACACGGGACUAUGAGGAUGUGAAUGAAGAAGAUUUCCUGGAACAGAGGAACUGAAAUUGACAACGCAAAUGGGGACCCUGGGAUGAGUCAGCUGGCAGCGCACGUGAGGUCAGUGCCUAAAGAGGUACUGGGAUCAGUUCCUUAAAGAAGUACUGGGAAUGGGAAGUUUUCUGAAUCAGGGUAACAUGGGGCAGAAUUUGUCUGCUGAAAAAAAAAAAUUAUGUGCAGUUGCUUAGAGUUUUGUUGAAACAAACUGGUGCUCAGGUUAGUUCUCAGACAUUAACUUAGCUGCUGCAGGAGGUUAUUACACAUAACCCAUGGUUUCCACAGGCAGCACCCUUGAUGUGGAAAAUUGGGACAGAGCAGAAGGAUUAAAAUGGGCUCAUCAAAAAGGUCUUAAAAUUGAUCCUUCUGUUUUCUCCACUUGGAGUUUAGUUCGUACUGUACUUCUGCCAUUAUCUCCUUAUUAUUCUGUGAGACAACAGGCUGAAUCUAAAAAUCCGAAAGAAUCUGUUGUCCCACUCACACCUCCAAAUGGAAAUAAAAAACAGGAGAGGGAGGAUAAAAAUUGGCCUAUACAGCCUCCUCCAGUUGCAGAAACAUCUGUACUGCCUCCUUUGGUAGCAGAACUAGAGACCCCAAUACAAAGAAUUUUAUGCUCUGCUGCCAUAGCUGGAGAGCCCCUAGGACCUUGCACUUUUCCUAUUUCCAUAAGGCCUGAUCCAAACAAUCCACAGCAGGUUAUUCAUGAACACACCCCACUAGAGUAAGUUGUUGAAGGAAUUAAAAGCGAGAGUGGUAAAUCAUGGCAUACAGAGCCGAUUGACCUUAGGAUUGCUAGAAUCUGUGUUUGGUGCUAUGCGUUUUUUACCCUUUGAUGUGAGACACUUGAUGCGAACUUGCUUGUCCACUAGUGCAUAUCUGACAUGGAAUUUAAAUUGGCAAGACAUGUGUGCAGACCAGGCUAAACAGAACCAUGUUGCUGGACACGGAGACAUUACAGAGGGUAUGCUAUUAGGUCAUGGCCCUUAUUCAGACCUGGAAAGUCAAAUGGCACUCCCAGACGCUGCUUAACAGCAGUGUGCACAGGCUGUUAAAUGCACCUGGGCCACAGUUCCUGAAGAGGGAGUCCCAGUACAAUCCUUUUUAAAUAUGCAAGGGUCACAGGGACCCUAUGUGCAAUUUCUUACAAGAUCACAAGAGGCAGUGAAGCGUCAGAUUCCUCAUACCACGGCUGCAGAAAUGCUAACCUUAACUCUAGCUUUUGAGGAUGCAAACGCGGAUUGUAAACAUGCACUGGCACUGGUGAGGUGUAUAAAAAACUUGGGAAAUUUUCUCAGAGCUUGUCAAGAUGUAGGAACUGAGCUUCAUCACUUUGCAAUAUUAGCGCAAGCAGUGGCUAAUUUAGCAGUUGACAAAUCUAAAAGGAGCCAAGGGUCAAACCCUAAAGUGGGAAAAUGUUAUAAUUGUGGAAAACCUGGACAUUUUAAAAAGGAAUACCGCCAGAUCUCAGGACAGAAAGGACCUUACAAUGCAGUGCCCCACCCAGUGGAAAAAAUGCCAGGACUUUGUCCUUGCGUAACAGAGGAAAUAACCGGGCUAAUCAGUGCCGCUCAAAAUUUCAUCAGAAUGGCACCCCCCUGCUGGGAAAUGAGAUGGGGGCCUGGACCCAGGCCCCACAAACAAUGAGGGCAUUCCCAGUCCAGACCUCAACCCCGUUCCAGGCAUGGGUUCCCAGAGGCACAUUGAUUCCCUCACCCCAGGAACACAAGGAGUGCAGGAUUAGAUCUCCCAGUCAAAGAAUGGGUAAUGUUAGUUGGGGCAGACAAACCCAUCAAAGUUCCCACUGAUAUUUGGGGACCUUUAUCAGCAGGAUAUGUGGAACUAAUUUUAGGCAAGAUCUGCCUUAACUUACAGGGCAUUACUGUAGUCCCAGAAGUUGUUGACUGAUUAUGAAGGAGAAGUUCAAGUAGUUUUAAUGUCACAAGAUCUUUGGGGUUUUGAGCUGGGACAAUAUACUGCUCAAUUAUUGCUUAUUCCCUGCAAAUCACACCCUUCUCCAUGAAAGGAGAAAUGAGAAAAUAAAGAGGUUGGGAGCACAACUACAUGGGAAAUCUAUCUAUCCCAACCCAUAGCCUCGAAUAGACCUACCUGUGUAGUACACAUUAAAGGAAAGAAAUUUUAUGGGCUUAUGGAUAUGGGAGCUGAUGUGUCAGUCAUAUCUAAAGACAGUUGGCCCCCAUCCUGGCCCUUGCAAUUAACUUCUACAUCCCUAGUGGGAGUAGGAACAGCUCAAAGUGUUCAACAGAGCACUGAGAUUUUACCUUGUCUUGGUCCAGAUGGACAGUCAUGUACUUUUCAGUCUUAUGUUGAAAAUAUAGCUAUCAAUUUAUGGGGUUGAGACUUACUUAUAACAUGGAAUAUGAGACUUACAAAUGAAAACUUUGAUAACCCAGGAUUUAAAAUGUUGAAGAACAUGGGAUAUCAGAGGGGAAAAUGUUUAGGAAAAUUUCUUCAAGGAAAUCCUAACCCAAUAUCAGUAACUGGAAAAACAGAUAGAAAAGGGCUAGGACGUCAGGAUUUCUGAUGAGGGUCAUUGAUAUUUCUCCUCUGCCCGCUGCCUCACUAUUAGAAUGGCUCAGUGACAAACCCGUGUGGGUGGAUCAAUGGCCCCUAUCUCAGGAGAACCUGAUGCAACUUCAGCAGCUAGUAAAAGAACAAUGGGAUGCCGGACACAUAAGCCUGGAAUUCUCCAGUGUUUGUUUUUCCAAAAAAGUCCGGAAGAUGGCGGCUACUACAUGAUUUAAGAGCUACUACAUGAUUUAAGAGCUAUUCAUGUACACAUAAAACUGAUGGGUGCCUUACAAAAACUGUCACCAUCUCCAGCGGCUAUUCCAAGAGACUGGCCUCUUGUAGUAAUAGAUCUUAAGGAUUGUUUCUUUACUACACCCUUACACGAGAACGAUAAGCCUUGAUUUGCAUUCUCUGUGCCUUCUAUUAAUCAAAGAGAACCUGUUUCUCAUUAUCAAUGGAGAGUUUUACCCCAAGGCAUGCUUAACAGUCCUACGCUAUGUCAGCAUUUUGUAGGACAGGCAUUAAAGAAGCCUCGGAAUAUGUUUCCUACUGCUUACAUCAUUCAUUAUAUGGAUGAUAUUCUUUUGGCUGCUCCUACAGAUCAAAACCUACAUCAGCUAUUCAGAGAAACAAAGCAGGCUUUGACUAAAUGGAAUCUCAAAAUAGCUCUAGAAAAGGUACAAACAACUUCCCCAUACCAAUACUUAGGAACUAUUGUUACAGAGAGAAGUGUAUGGACUCAGAAAGUAGUUCUCCAUAAAGACAGGUUAUAGACUUUAAAUGAUUUUCAGCAGUUAUUAGGAGAUAUUAAUUGGCCAUGACCGAUGUUAGGUAUUGCUACCUAUCAACUUACACAUAUUUACCAAACCCUGCACGGAGAUUCUUUAAAUUCCCUGCGGCAACUAACUAAAGAGGCAGAAGCCAAAUUACAGCUUGUAGAGCAAAUGUUACAGCAGAGACAUGCCUCAUGGCUACAACCACAAAAACCUUUGCUUUUGUUUAUUCUUCCUACCCCCUACUCUCCAACAGGACUUUUGGGCCAGUUUAUAGACUAGUCUGUAACAGUAAUAGAAUGGUUCUUUCUAUCUAAUCAAACAGUCAAAACCUUGCAAGUUUAUCUUUCUUUAAUUACACAAAUUGUGACUAUGGGCAGGCAUAGGUCACAAAUGCUUACAGGAUAUGAUCCUGACAAAAUUAUUGUUCCUUUAGACUCUCAGCAACAAGCUGCAGCUUGGGAAAUGUCAACUGCCUGGCAAACUGCUUUCGCAGACUUCAUGGGCGCGAUAGAUAACCACUACUCUCAGACAACAUUUUACAGUUUUAUAAAAUCCAUUCUCUCAUUCUUCCUGUGAUUACUCAUCACCGACCUAUUCCAGGUGGACAGACUUAUUUUACUGAUGGCUCUUCCGAAGGUCAUGCCGCCAUCUAUGGACCAAAACAUACUCAAACCAUAAGGAUCUCUGGGGUUUCAGGUCAAUGCUCAGAGCUAGUUGCAGUCAGCUGUGAGGUUUUACAGCUCACAGCUUCAGAUCCUAUCAACUGCAGGGAGCCGAAGGCCCAUGGGACGGGACCAACUCAGCAUUCCACUGGAGGCUAUAUGAUCAAACAGCAAACUGUUUAUCAUGAAUGCAGGAUGUGGGCAAACUCACACUGCCCUGCCACCAAAAGGUUUGUGGAGGGCCUCACUCCCUGGCUCCUUGAAGUUAUCUAUCGAGAGUUAUCUAUUGAGAAAUCUAGUGCCUACUGUUUUAAGAAUGCAGUCUUGCAAGCCUGCUGUGAAUCAGGCUGCUAGCCAGCAACCACCCCCCCACUUCCUGCUAUCUCUUUUGCCUGAUAAAUAUGGAGGGCUGUGUAAAGCUCAGGGCCAUUGUCCACUAGAGGCGAGCUGCCCCCUGACCGCUUCUUCCAAAUAUACUCUUUUAUCUCUUGUCUUUUAUUCCCACGCUCGUCCCCUUUGUUCAGUCCAUCAGGGAUCGUGGCAGGCUACAAUCAACAUUGUCAACCAUAAAGACAGGUUACAGACUUUAAAUGAUUUUCAGCAAUUAUUAGGAGAUAUUAAUUGGCUACGCCCGAUGUUAGGUAUUGCUACCUAUCAACUUACACAUCUUUACCAAACCCUGCAAGGAGAUUCUUCUUGUUCAGCUUAUGUUGUAAAUUUAGCCAUUCGCACAGAAACUGCUACAGUUAAAAGUACACUAGACCCAGAACUGCUUAAUUUGUUUCACUUAUUCUCAUAUGCUGCAUGGUACAUGCCAAACAGGUGAGACAGCUGGUCAUGUACAGCGACAUUGUCUGUCAUCAUUUGCUCAUAUGGGAAUACCUAAACAAUUAAAAAUUGACAAUGGACCCGCUUAUACUAGUCAUGCUUUUCAAAAUUUCCUACAGCUUUGGGCUAUAACCCAUAAAACAGGAAUUCCUUAUAAUCCUAGAGGACAAGGCAUUAUAGAAUGGGCACAUCAAACAUUACAACGAAUGUUGAAAAGACAAAAAGGGGGUAUAGGAGGCCAACUACCACCUCAAUCAAAACUACAUUUAGCCUUAUUUACUUUAAAAUUUUUGACUCCUGGUACGGAUGGUAAGACUCCAGCAGGAAGACAUUGGCAAGUGUUAGAGGAAAAGAGGAAAGUUUAUCUGAAAGUGUUAUGGAAAUCCCCAGAAGAAGGACAAUGGAAAGGCCCGGUGGAUUUACUGACAUGGGGAAGAGGGUAUGCUUGUGUGUUUACAGGAGAUGGACAAGCCAUGUGGGUGCCCUCAAGGUGCUUGCAACCCUGGAAUGGGAGACUGGAGAAACACGGGGUGGCCAACCAUGGGCCCGGUCCCUCCGAUAUGAGCCAUGAGUCAGCUGAGCCUGAGUGCAAAGAUGGAGAGAAGGCCGACUGGACUCACGACACAGUCUUAAUGUUACAUUUGUAAAGAAUAUCACCACUCAAUUUGUGGUUUGUGUUUUUAAUCCUUAUGUCUUUUUGGCUGCUCAGAAGGACCAGCUCCGGGUAAACAAUACCCAAUUGACCUGUAAAUCUUGCCAGUUAUAUCACUGCAUUAAUCAUAGCACAUUGCGAACACAUAAUAUCUCGACUUUGAUGAUUUUAGGUUGCAUCCCUGGGCUAGGGAUUCCUGUUAAUCUGUCCGAGGCUUGGGCUCCACACCUGCUUUGCAUUUUGUGAAACUUCUUCUACCUCAGGUUACUCAUUGUGCCCGUAGAGCCUUAGGCAUGAUAAUUUUUGCUAUCGUUUCCUUGGUCACACUAAUAACUUCUGUUGUGAUGUCCUCUGUAACUUUGCAUAGUUCUGUUCAAACGGCUCAGUACGUAGAGAAUUGGACACGUACAGCCAACCAAGCGAGGCUACUUCAGAAUAAAAUUAACACUGAGCUACAAACUGAAGUGGCAAUGUUGAAAUCCAUGGUUCUGUGGUUAGGGGAACAAGUAUAAAGCUUGCAGUUGCAGUGGCAAUUGCACUGUCAUUUUAAUCACACUCGUAUUUGUGCAACCAACUUAGAAUAUAACGAAAGUGAGUAUCUGUGGGACCUUGUGAAAGCCCAUUUGCAAGGAGCUUUCACAUCCAACACCACCUUUGAUAUUAGUGAAUUACAAAACAAAAUUCUUGAUUUAAAUAGGCAAACUCAAGAAUUUCAGCCUUCUUUAGAAGACUGGACUGAAUUCCAGGAAGGCCUGGAGAGCCUCAACCCUUGGACCUAUCUAAGGCACCACAUUAACAUCUUAUAUGUAGUUCUUGGAGUAAUGUUGUUUUGUCUCUGUCUUCUGUUUAUAGUCUGUAAAAUCGGAUGGACCGCCAAUCGGAGAAUGAGAGCUGCCCAGCCUGGUCUUACAUUCUUUCAAUUAAUUCAUAAACAGGGGGAUAUGCAGGGAGCCGAAGGCCCAUGGGACGUGACCAACUCAGCAUUCCACUGGAGGCUAUAUGAUCAAACAGCAAACUGUUUAUCAUGAAUACAGGAUGUGAGCAAACUCACGACUGUGCCUGCCGCCAGAAGGUUUGCUGAGGGCAAUCGCUUCCUGACGCCGAGCUCUUUGAAGUUAUCUACUGGAACAUCUAGAGAAUGCAGUCUUGCAAGCCUACUCUGGACCAACCAACUGACCUCUUCUUCCACCCCUCUUCUCACUAUCGCUUUUGUCUAAUAAAUACAGAGGGCCGUGUAAAGCUCAGGGCCUUGUCCACUAGAGGCAAGGUGCCCCCGGACCCCUUCUUCCAAAUAUACUCUUUUGUCUCUUGUCUUUUAUUCCCGCGUUCACCCCCCUUUGUUCAGUCCACCAGGGAUCAUGGCAGGUUACAUAGUGGCGCCCCGAACAGCGACAGAAUCGGGUGCUCAAUAGAUCCUCAUAUAUAACUAUAAUUGGAGCCCCAAUGUAAAGUCCAUAAAUUUUUGUCAAUUUGAGCAUUUUUGCUGUUGUUGAAGUUAAGUUAGUACCUAUGUUGUAAAGGCACAAAACCAAAUCAGUGCCUUUUUAUCCUUUCGUUACAUAAAUUUUUUGGUAUAAAAAUUAAUAUAUGAAUUUUGAAUUCCCAAUCAAAUCAAAUUGUAAAACUUUGUUUUGAUGCAGUUAUAUAUUAAAUG